ACAGGCAGCAUCUCCAGAGGCAAGCCCGAUGCUAUUUGUGUCUUCAAAGCUUCAUACCACACCAUGCUUUCCUUCCUGCUCUUCCUCCACCUCCCCAGAAGGGAAUCAGAUGAAAGCCAGGUAGGGCACGGGAUGUGGAGCCAGUGAGACUGUAGAAGAGGUUCUGCUAUCUGGAAUGUCCACUGUGGAACCCAAAGCUCUCAGUGAGGGAGGACUCUGCCUCAGUUUCCCCAGCUGGCUCUUAGGGGCCUUCCUCCUCACUCGACUGCUGAAGUGAUUGGAUGUGUCUGUUGAGGACCUCACCCUGCAUUGUUGGCUGUGUCUCUGAAGAAAAAGGCUCUUUUUAAGUGGGUUAGAAUUUCAGGUAUUCCUGUCCCUAUCUGAGUCCUGAUCCCUGGGUUUUCUUUUCUGUUACCCAAGUGAAGCCAUCUGGGACAGCAUGAGGUCACUUUGAAUAACAUAGAAAAUAAUCCCCACAAGGGGGGGCAUUUUCUGUGCACCUACUAUGUGCCAAGUCCUGCUCCUACUAUCUAUCUAUCUAUCUAUCUAUCUAUCUAUCUAUCUAUCUAUCUAUCAUCUAUCUAUCUAUUAUCUAUCUAUCUAGCUAUCUGUCUACCAUCCUAUCUAUCCAUUAUCUAUUAUCUAUCUAUCUAUCUAUCUAUCUAUCUAUCUAUCUAUCUAUCUAUCUACCUAUCUAUCUACCUACCUACCUAUCUACCUAUAGACAGCAUCUCAUGUAGCCCAGGUUAGCCUGAAGUUCGCUAUGUAGCCUAGGAUGACCUUGAACUUCUGACCCUUUGACCCCUACUUCCUGAGUUCUGGGGUAACAAGCAUGUGCCACCACACCCAGUUUUUGUAGUACUGGGAAUGAAACCCAAGACUUCAGGCAUUGUACAAGCUAUCUACCCAUUGAGCUCCAGCCCUGAGCCCUGUAGUAUAGAACUUCAUUUGAUUCAACACAGUCCUGUUCAUCUCUGCCCUAUGGAGUGGAUGCUAUUGUACAGAGGAGAAACUAAGGCUCAGAGAGACAGGAUUGUAAAUAAAGUUCUUUACAUGCCAUGGUAUAUGUACAGAUAUCAGAGGACAAUUCUUGGGGGACCAAUUUUCCCCUUUCACUGUGCGGCUUUGGGGAUUGAACUCCAGUCAUCAGUCUUGGCAGCAAGCCCCUCUUCCUGCUGAGCCCACUUGCAAGCCCCCAACCCCAAACUUCCAUUUAAGAGUUCAAGCUUAGCAGGUGGCCUCUCCAGCAGACUCCUUCCUGCCUUGUUAAUCUGCCCCAUGUGCUGCUGCCACCAUCUGUGUCUGACUCUGAGUUCACAGGGAGAAGAGCAUCAAGUCUCCCCGGGAGGGCCUUUUGCUUCCUCAUUGGGACAGUUUUGUUGGAACCAAGAGCCCAGGAGAGCCCUGGGGCUGUGCAGAGUCUCAAGCUGUCUUCCCGCAGCUCCAUCACAAGUGUCUAAAUGCUCAUGUACCCUCUACCCAUCUGCCCAGCUCUGCUCUGCUCAGGAUGUGAGGAUAGACAGUUAAUGGCCUGGAACGAACUUUAUCCAACUGCCUCAUUUGUACACAUUCCCUCUCACGGCACAAUGUGGAGGCUCCUGGUUUGCCCUCCUCCACCAUUAGGCAAAGCAGAUUUGGAUGAGAUGGGAAACAUCUACUUUUAACCAGGUUCUCCGGCUAUUCACUGCUAUGCAACAAAACGCCAAGGGGGAAAAAUAGUGACUUAAAGCCACAAAGAUAUAGUUUUCCAUUGUUCAUGAUUUAAAGGGUUAAGAAUUCAGGCAUGGCUAUGCUGGGUGCUUUUUCUGUUUCAUGGGGCAUUGGCUGGGGUCGCUCACUUGCUCAGUUCACCUGCCAGUAGGAUUACACUACACCCACCGGAAGGUUCUGUGUCUUCUUGUUUCCCAAACCCCUCAACUCCUUCCUUGUUCAGUAGCCCACCCUGCCAGGCUCUUUUACUGCAAGAAGUGUAAAAGUGGAGUCCAUUAAAUGUCUCAGACUGAGACCAUGGUCUCUCAUGGAAGGGAAAGGUCCUAUCUCCAUGGCUGAGACGUGCCGGGGAAGAUGAGACUGCCUGCCAUCUUUGGAAACACCUCGGGGGAGUUGGGCACACACAGGAAACUAAGGGAAAGUGGCAGGGCUGUCCCAGGGGGAUCUGAGAUGGGGGAUACAACAGCCUCAGAAAAAACUCUCACCCCAUGUGUUUUAGCAAAACACAGCCAUGCCACAUUUCCAUGGAAACAUGGCUGCUAGGGGCUUCCUCUGAGUGGCAAAGGCACAGUAAGUCUAGAAUGGAACACUUGCC
rnacentral:lncRNA from 1 species